CACCCUGUAGACCCGAGUUUGAGUGCUUGACGUACACCGCGCUGUACAGCUCCAAACUCGAGUCUUCAAGGAAAC
rnacentral:pre_miRNA from 1 species